CCUACGGGAGGCUGCAGUGGGGAAUCUUGCGCAAUGGGCGAAAGCCUGACGCAGCGACGCCGCGUGGGGGAGGAAGGGCUUCGGCUUGUAAACCCCUGUUGCCCGGGACGAAUCCACUCUUUCGAGGGUGUUGACGGUACCGGGUGAGGAAGCACCGGCUAACUCCGUGCCAGCAGCCGCGGUAAUACGGAGGGUGCGAGCGUUGUCCGGAAUCACUGGGCGUAAAGGGCGCGUAGGCGGCUCAUUAAGCGUGUGGUGAAAGCCCGGGGCUCAAC
rnacentral:rRNA from 1 species